ensembl:lncRNA
CACAACCCUGACCAGGAUAAAGCACUUACUGAAGAUGAAUGAAUUAUAAAACAGUAAUUACCCCAAACAUAUGCCUUGCUAUUUUUUACAUUACUUACCUGCUAGCUAGCUAAUCAAACCUGUCACUAUGAUACCUCUGAAUUGUCACUAUGAUACCACAUCAACACCUAUGAUCACCUACACCCGGCAAAGUAAAUAGAGACGUUUCCAAGGUGUUAAUAUAAACAUGAGUCAGCAUGUCAACAAGAUACAUAUCAUCACAAUCAAUAAUCAAUCAAUAAUCUUUGUUAUAUUCAUAAUUUCAUAUGAUCAGUUUUCAAUAUAACAAUAAAAAAAGAAAUAGGCUAAAGAUUUAGCCUGUGUUUGUUUUAAAGAACAAUUAUACAAUAAUAUGUAUUUGUAUUUUUUGAUCAAUUAUACAAAUGAUUACAUAAAAAAGAAAAGGAAAGAAAGAAAGAAAGAAAGAAAGAAAGAAAGGAAGAAAGAAAGAAAGUGAACUUAAUAAAUGUGAAAAUAAAGUGAAUAUAAUCAGCAUGCUCCUUAUUUGCUUGUUCCAUUACAACAUUAAUCAGUUUCAUUGUGUUAGUUUCGUCUGAGUAACCAUCUUCAACAGAGGCAAAGAAUCUGAUUGUGACAUUUUGUCUAGACAGAAAUAUUCUUCUUCUAGGAUUACAGUGAAAAAAACAGUGUCCUUCUCUGUUGUCUGCACAGAAAAAUAGGUUAUGAGAAAGCAAGAGCUUACUUGUGGGCUAAUUGAGAAUUUCCAUGCUUACUUCAGGUCAUCACAGCGUGUGAGAGUCGGUCGUUUACUGCACUAAUCAGACAAUGCAGAGCUCGCUUCAGCAAAAACACAACUCCUGAUCACAGACUGACGGGGCAAAUUUUCCACUAGCAAUAACCUCAGUAGGCCAAAUAAAAUGCCGCACAUCCAAUUUUGUGUGCUGGGCUGCUCUGGGUCAAAUAAUAAGCUCAACCAAUUUGGGAAUAUUUAUCAGCACAGCCCGAUGCCUGCGAUUAGAGCGUCUCCUGAAGCCAGAACUACUGUAUAAAUUGGCUAAUAUCUUCUUGUAGAUGUGAAUUUUAAUUGAAUUAGCCUUAUUCUUUGGUUUCCACACUUAUUUGGCCUCGGUCCUAAUACCCCCCACCACCACCACCAUAUUAUUAACAAGUACAGUUUUGUACAAUGGAGCAGGAUGUUCCUUAAAGCCUGAUAGUGAGUAACUAAAAACUAGAAAACAUCAGCAUUGUUUUGCCAUUCAUGUAGUGAUACAUCAGAAUGGAAAAGAGUUAAUUAAGGAUACACAUUUGAUGGAAAACUAAAACCAAAAGCAGUAUUCUAUAUCUAUAUCUGUGCUCCAAAUAUCCAUAUCUGUAUUUAUAUACUUAUGUGGACAUAGUUUAAUUUAAACAACCACAACUUUGACCAGGCAGUUACUAUUGAUGAAUGAGUAAAUGCCGUAAAUGAAGUACUCAGCUCCUGGUCUUUGUCACAUGAGCUUCAUAUCUGACGGCUCGCUAAAGCCUGCAUGAAAGUAAAAAAAAAAAACCCUCCAAAUCAUUGGACUUUUUUUGUUGUGUCCCAUAGGAUCCUAGUCCUACUGCACACCUCUAGUUUAGGUGAGCCUUUCUGGCAACCUUUCUUAAGAAAAAUGCAAUAAACAUCCCCUAUUCAUAUCUAUAUUUUUAUCUGUUUAUAAUGCAAUCUGUUCAUUUUAUGGCUGGAAAAUUUAUUGUGUGUUUCCUACUGGAUUGAGUUGCGAAACACACACACACACACACACACACACACACACACACACACACACACACACACACACACACACACACACUUAUACAAAGAAGUCUUAGUGUCAUGAUAUAGCUGGAAAUGAUAAGAAUCUUUGGUAGAAUGUUUAACAUGUAGACACAGAGGGCUUACUGAAAUAAGCCUUGGUUAUGCAACACUGCUAUUCAAAAGAUGUAGUGAUACAAAGCCACAUUAAAAUGAAGGGGAAUAAAUGGAUACAGAAUGGACAAAGUGAGCACACUGAGAGAAUGGAUACGCUAUGGAUAUGUUUAUUCAUUCAAGGUGUACUGAUGCAGAGAAGAAGGAAAUGAGUCCUGUAUGUCUGUGAAUCAUGUCUGAGUCAGUUGUGAGUGUUCACAGCCCAUGCAGAGAUAAGCAGGUGUCCAAAAAUUAUAGUGGAGUUGCAUUGUGUUGCCCUUACACUGAACUAUUGCAUUCAACCCAUUCAGAAUGUGUGACAUUUAGUGAGAUUAUAAGUAAAGGUUUCAGGUCUUUGUUGCAUGUUUUGUUGUUGUUGUUGUUGUUGCUAUUGCUGGAAAUGGUGGUCAUUCAGCAAGCCAGCAAAACACUUUAAAACCUGAGCCAUGUGUCCACAAUUUUAUAAUCAUUUGUGGUAAUGCCUGGUCACAGUAUUAAAUGGAAAGUCUAAAAAAAAAAAAAGUUUUACUAUGUAUCACUAACCUGGCCAUACAAAUAUGAAACCAUUAUGGUUGAGUCUUAUAACAUGGGCUCUCAGAUUAGGCAUAAAGCUACAGUACUACCUGUAUACACCAGAAAACACUCACUGAAAAACAGAGAGGCAACAUUAUUUGUGAUUGAUAUUUUUUAAAUCAAGUGUUUCAAGUCUGUAAUCAUCCUCCAUUUUUUUUCCAAACAGCUAGUGUGGUAAACAGAAAAGCUGUGCUUAGUGGUCCAUUUGCCAGCUCUGUUGUUCAAACAACACCACAAAAUGUAUGCUUCUGUCAAUAUUUACUUCUAAUUUCUCCUCCAAUGGCAUUUUCAAAAAAAAAAAAAAAACAGUGUUUGAGAAAGUAAUCCAACUUGUUCAUGUUUUUUUUUUUUUUUUUUUUUUUUUUUACAUCCACUAUUAUAUUUCAGUCAUUGCUCAUGAUGCUUUAUGGAUGUGCCAUUGAAGUAGUUAAAGCAGCUCUAAUCUGAAAAAGAAAAAAAAAAAAAAAAAAAAUAGGAACUGAAAAACAUUCCCUGAGAAGGGAAUGAGACGUUGCACGAGCUAUACACUGUGGCAAGCGCCUUCGCACGUGACUGGUAUCUGAAGCUUGUGUAACCUCAGGCCUGCUGUGAUCAGGUGAUGUGGCAAUUAAGCACAUCACGUGACAUAAAACGGCACCUGUGAACCAUGCCAUCAGCAUCUAUUAUCUGAAGCAAAGAUGCAAUUCACAGGCAUGCCCAAGUAUGACAAAGCUACAUAAUGUUUCAUUUCCUUCUCAGGGAACAGGGUUAACCCAGACGUUCCCUUUCAAAGGGAAUUUAACAUAGACCUUCACGCUGUGAGAAUCAGAAUACCCACUCCAUCAUACUGAGGGUAAAGCCUGUUCAAAAGAUCCAAGCCCGAGGGUCACUGCAAGACACUCGAGUCUUGGGUGGAAUGUAUAUACAGGCUGUAAUAUCGAAUGAAUGUGUGUGGCGUAGACCACCCCACAGCAGCACACACAAAGGGUACCCCUUUUGACAAAGUCUUAGAGGAGGCGACCCCCCAGUGGAAUGAGCCCUUAUGCUCAGAGGCAUCGCGAGACCGCGCGCCUCAUAAGCAAUAGAGAUUGCUUCCACUAUCCAAUUAGAGAUGCGCUGCUUUGACACAGCAUCACCUCUACUGUCGCCACCAAAGCAGACCAGCAACUGCUCUGACUUACGCCACUGGCUGGAGCAGUGGACGUAAGUACAGAGAGCCUUUAGUGGACACAGUAGAUGCAAUUUCUCUUGUUCUGGUGUGAGGAACGGAGGAGGUCAGAAAGCCUGGAACAGUACUGGAUGGACAGGAGACAUAUGCACUUUAGGAAUAUAAUCCAGCCUAGGAUAUAGGAAGGCUUUGGCUAAUCCAUGGUCAAAGUCAAGGCAGGAAGGGGCAACAGAGAAAGCUUGUAGAUAUCCUACUCGCUUGAGAGAUGUCAGGGCCAGCAGAAGAGCUACAUUUAGAGUCAGUAACUUCUUUGACACUGACUCUAAAAGCUCAAAUGGGGCACCUAACAGACCUUCCAGGAUCACAGAAAGGUCCCAGGAAGGUAUGCAAAUGGGCCUCAGCUGCCUGACACCACACAUAAAACUCGAUGUUAGAGCAUGUUGCCCCACAAAGGCUCCAUCAAAACGGGCAUGGCUGGCCGAAAUGGCAGCCACAUAGACAAUAAUUGUAGAAUGAGCCAACCCUGCUGAGAAACAUCCUUGUAAGAACUUCAGGACUGUAGCUAUUGCACAGUUUACUAGGUUUAGCUAACGUUCCUCACACCACAAGACAAAAAGUGGACACUUGAGCACGCACAAUUUCCUUGUGGAUGGUGCUCUAGCAUUCAGCAUGGUCUCUACAGCCUCAGUUGAGAGACCAAAACUCUGAGCUAGUGCCCCUCAGGAGCCAGACCCACAGUUUCCAUAGUUCCAGCAAAGGGUGAUAAACCAGCCCACCAGCUUGAGACAGCAGAUCCUGAAGAUGGGAAUCUCCCAAGGAGUGCCAUCUAGCAGGGAUAUUAUCGCUGAGAACCAUAUUCGAGCUGGCCGAAAAGGUGCUACUAGCAGCAGACGUAGAGGGUCUGGGUGAACUCUCAGUAGAACUUGUGGGAGCAGAAUGAUCGGACAGAAUGAAGCGUACAGACUUGACCUCGGCCACAUGUGCACCAUGGUGGAGAGACGGCGAACCACAGCGGGCAGUGUGUUGUCUCCUUGGAGGCGAACAAAUCCACUUCUGCUUGGCCAAACGAAUACGACCCGCAUUUCUAGGCGAUUUAUAUGCCACUUCAAAUGAGGGCCGCUUCAGAGACCAUGAGCUGGACAGCUGUCUAAGACCACAUUCCAACCUGUGAGGGAGGCAUCUGUCAUUACCAUCUUGUAAUAAAGAGAUGCCCCUAGAGUGUGACCCGAGGUUAAAAACCAGGGAAACCUCCUGAUUACUCUCAGAGGUGUCAUCCUCCAAUGAAACCUCAGACUUUUGAGCCACCACUGAAAUGGUCUCAUGUGCAAUAGGCCCAAAGGUAUGACAUUGGCUGCUGCUGCCAUAAGCCCCAACAGUCUCUCGUAGAGACUAGAGGGGAUGCGCAGAUUCAGCUUUAUCUUGCUCAGUGUUAAUAGAAUUGACCCUGCGCACGUUGGGGAUAGAAACGCCCUCAUUAUAGUAGAAUCCCAUAUAACCCCUUGAAAAGUUGUCCUCUGCACUGGAGAAAGCAUACUUUUCUUGAGGUUCAACCUGAGCCCCAGGCUCCUCAUGUGGGCGGGAACAACAUCUAAAUGUUGAAUUGCCAGUUCCCUGGAUCAUGCUAGAAUUAACCAGUUGUCCAGGUGGUUUAAUACAUGGAUGCCCUGGAGUCACAAGGGAGCCAGAACGGCAUCCAUGCACUUUGUAAAGGUGUAAGGGGAUAAAGCUAGCACAAAGGGAAGAACCCAAUAUUGGUACACCUUGCCUACAAAUGCGAAACUCAGGAACUUACUGUGACUGGGCAAUAUUUCUAUGAAUCUUUUAGAUCUUUUUUCUAUGUGUCUUUUAGAGGGUGGUUUGGCUUUCCAUAGCAGAAGGAGGAGUCACGACACGAGCCAGUAGACCAGUAGACAGAGCAAGAGAUAAAGCAGCGCUUGUCUCCGGCUCCUCUCCCAGAUCCAUACGAGAUCCCCAGGACCUGAGCCGGCUGGCUGCUUCACCAUCUCAAUAAUUAUACAUCUGUUUUGUUAAAUAACAGCACGUUAUUUUUUUAUUAUUAGUCUUAGACUUAGAGCAUCCAUGUCCCUAUGUAAGUUCUUACUCUUUGGGAGUUUUGGAUGGUGUCUUUUUAAGCAUUUUCUUUUUGGAUGUCUUUUUUGGCAUGUUUUCCUGUAGUGGCAGUGGAUUCAAUCAGUUCUGUCAAGGUGUCACACAAGAAACAUCUCAUGAUGGGUAAAAGCAAAGAGCUCUCCCAAGACCUUCGCAACCUUACUGUUGCGAAACAUAUUGAUGCAAUCGAAUACAGACAUAUUUCAAAACUUCUGAAUCCUCCACUAUGCACCAUUGGGACCAUUAUCCGCAAGUGGAAGCAACAUCACUCCGUCAUCAACUGGCCAUGCUCAGAAGCUCCUUGCAAGAUUUCAGACCAUGGAGUCAGAAGUGUAGCCCAAGAGCCAAUAACCACUCAGAAAGAGCUCCAGAAACACUUGUAGGCAGCAGGUGCCAUAGUCACAGAGAAAACAAAAGGCAAUGCACUCUAUUACUCACGCUCACCAGCAAGACUCCAUUACUAAAGAAAAGGCAUGUCGAAGCAUAUUUAAAGUUUGCUACAACUCAUUUGGACACACCUAUGAAAUACUGGGGGAGUGUAGUCUGGUCAGACGAGAGCAAAAUUUUACGUUUUGGCUGUCAUACUUCGCACCAUGUUUGGAGAAGAAAUGGCACUGUACAUCACCCUUAAAACACUAUACCAACAGUGAAGUUUGGAGGUGGAAGCAUCAUGGUGUCGGGCUGUUUUUCAUCGCAUAGUACUGGCAGACUUCAUAUAAUUGAAGGAGCGAUGAAUGGAGCCCGUUACUGGGAGAUUCUUGAGAAGAAUCUGCUGCCAUUUUCUGUGUCAUUCCUCUUUAUUACACAUAACUUCUUUGGUGGACUUCUUUAUUGGAUUCUUAUGUGUGGAUUUCUUACCAAAGAAAUCAGAAUAAGUUUCAUUUUCAGCUGAAUUUGUGGAAACCACUUGAAGCAUUUGUUGUGUUGAACUAUUUCAAAUGCUUUUGUGUGAUUUGUUCAUUGCAAGGUGAAAUUCUGUAAAGUUUGACAAUAAAGUUGCAGUUGGGGAGAAUAAUUUUGAUUACGACUGUAUUUGAUGUUUUAUCUAAUCAACAUUUUUGUUUAUUUUUAUCUAAUCAACAUGUUUAUGAAGAUAAACAUUUAUUUUGAAAUUGAUGCAUGCAGUAUGUUCCAAAAAAGUUGGGACAGGGGCAAUUUAGGAUUAAUAGCCAUGUGACAAGAUGAAAUAAGAAGGUGAAGAAACAGGUGAGGCAAUCGUCUAAUCAUAGUAUAUAAGGGGCCUCCAAAAAAGCCUAGUCUUUCAAGAGCAAGGACGGUUUGAGGCUUGCCAAUCUGCUAACAGAUGCAGCGAAUAAUCCAACACAUUGAGAACAACAUUCCCCAAAGACAAAUUGGUAGGAUUUGGGCAUUUCACCUCCUACAGUGCACAAUAUAAUUAAAAGUUUCAAGGAAUCCGGUCAAAUCUUGGUGCAUAAAGGGCAAGGCCGUAAACCAGUUGUGAAUGCGCGUGAUCUCCGAUCCCUCAGACAUCACUGUUUUAAAAACUGUCAUGAGUCUGUAAUGGAUAUCCUGACAUGGGCUCAGGAAUACUUUGGUAAACCUUUGUCAGUCAACACCAUUCGCCACUACAUCCACAGAUGCAAGUUAAGGCUUUACUAUGCAAAGCAGAAGCCAUACAUCAACACUGUGCAGAAGCGCCACCAACUUCUCUGGGCUCAGUCUCAUCUGAGAUGGACAGUAGCACAGUGGAAUCAUGUUUUCUGGUCUGACGAGUCAACAUUUCAAAUAGUUUUUGGACAAAACACCCAUCGUGUUCUCCUGGCCAAAGAGGAAAAGGACCAUCCAAGCUGUUAUCAGCUUGAGGUCCAAAAGUCAGCAUAUGUCAUGGUAUGGGAGUGUGUCAAUGCGGGUGCUAGCAUGGCCUGCCUACCUAUCCUGACCUGUCUCUGAUUGAGGAUGUGUGGUGCAUUAUGAAGUGCAAAAUAAGGCAAAGAAGGCCCCGUGCAGUUGGACAUUUGAAGAAAUGUAUAAUGGAUGAACAGGGGAAAAUUCCACUUGCUAAACUUAACCAUCUGGUGUCUAAAGUGCCCAAACACAUAAUAUGUGUUAUUAAAAGAAAAGGUGAUGUUACACAGUGGUAAACAGCUGACUGUCCCAACCUUUUUGGAGUGUGUUGUAAUAAUCAGAUUUGAAAUGUGUGUAUAUUUUAAAAAAUAAAUUAAAUUCAGAAAGUAAAACAUCAAAUAAUGUGUUAAUAAUGUUUUCAAUAUAGUACAGGGUGAAUCGCAUUUUCAAAUGACUCUUUUUUUUUUUGCUUGUUUUUUGCAUUUUCCAUACUGUUCCAACAUUUUUGGAAUUGGGGUUGUACUUGGUUGCUCUAUUACCUUCGGUGCAAAGCUAAAAAAAUAAAAUAAAAAUAAAAAUAACUUCAAUCAUACAUGCAGCAGAAGCAGCAGCCCAUAACCAUAGAUUCUGAUGUGGCAAGAUGACAUUAAUAGUGACAUAACCUCAAAUAAAAUUAUGUUGAGAUUCUAUCACAGUUGACUUUUGCUAUAGGCUGCUGUCAAGAGUAAGGCUGUAAGAGACAGUUGAAACUUGACUAUGUACAGUGCAGCAGCUCCUUUUGAGUGGUUUUAACUUUGAUACAGCAGGUGUGUUUCCUGUUGCUAGCAAGGCACAUACAUUUACCACAGUUUUCAGGUUUCAUCAACAUUUUUUACAUCUCAAAAACUUUUAAUAAAUAUAUAAAUAAC